GGGCCCAUAGUUCAACGGUAGAAUACCGCAUCGGCUGUGCGGUGGUUUCGGGUUCAAAUCCCGAUGGGUCCA
rnacentral:tRNA from 1 species